rnacentral:rRNA from 1 species
ACUUCGGUGGGGAUUAGUGGCGAACGGGUGAGUAACACGUGGGCAAUCUGCCCUUCACUCUGGGACAAGCCCUGGAAACGGGGUCUAAUACCGGAUACCACUACCGCAGGCAUCUGUGGUGGUUGAAAGCUCCGGCGGUGAAGGAUGAGCCCGCGGCCUAUCAGCUUGUUGGUGAGGUAAUGGCUCACCAAGGCGACGACGGGUAGCCGGCCUGAGAGGGCGACCGGCCACACUGGGACUGAGACACGGCCCAGACUCCUACGGGAGGCAGCAGUGGGGAAUAUUGCACAAUGGGCGAAAGCCUGAUGCAGCGACGCCGCGUGAGGGAUGACGGCCUUCGGGUUGUAAACCUCUUUCAGCAGGGAAGAAGCGAAAGUGACGGUACCUGCAGAAGAAGCGCCGGCUAACUACGUGCCAGCAGCCGCGGUAAUACGUAGGGCGCAAGCGUUGUCCGGAAUUAUUGGGCGUAAAGAGCUCGUAGGCGGCUUGUCACGUCGGGUGUGAAAGCCCGGGGCUUAACCCCGGGUCUGCAUUCGAUACGGGCUAGCUAGAGUGUGGUAGGGGAGAUCGGAAUUCCUGGUGUAGCGGUGAAAUGCGCAGAUAUCAGGAGGAACACCGGUGGCGAAGGCGGAUCUCUGGGCCAUUACUGACGCUGAGGAGCG